UGUGAGUUUAACACUUCAUGACUGAGAGCAGAACAGAACACAGUCUUCAUCAUCACACAAGACACAACAACAACAAUGAACAACAUCAUCAUCCUCAUCUGGACACUGACUCUCUGCAUUCAGGAGAUCUGGGGACAAGUGACAGUGACUCAGAAUCCAGAAAUAAAAUCCAUCAGUCAAGGAGAAACUGUUACUAUCAGCUGUAAAACCAGUCAGCCGAUUUCUGGCUGUAGUAACUGUGUGUCUUGGUAUCAGCAGAAACCUGGAGAAGCUCCUAAACUCCUCAUUUACAGGAUCAACAGCCUCCAGUCAGGAACUCCAUCUAGAUUCAGUGGCAGUGGAGCUAGCUACGGAAGUGAUUUCACUCUCACCAUCAGUGGAGUCCAGACUGAAGAUACAAUAUCAACAGUAAAGCUGUGUUCACACAGUGGUGGUGUGUUCACACAGUGA